CCUACGGGAGGCAGCAGUGAGGAAUAUUGGUCAAUGGACGCAAGUCUGAACCAGCCAUGCCGCGUGCAGGAAGACGGCUCUAUGAGUUGUAAACUGCUUUUGUACGAGGGUAAACGCAGAGACGUGUAUCUGUCUGAAAGUAGCGUACGAAUAAGGAUCGGCUAACUCCGUGCCAGCAGCCGCGGUAAUACGGAGGAUUCAAGCGUUAUCCGGAGUUAUUGGGGUUAAAGGGUGUGUAGGCGGUAGGAUAAGUUAGAGGUGAAAUCCCGAGGCUCAACUUCGGAAUUGCCUCUGAUACGGUUCGGCUAGAGCGUCGUUGCGGUAGGCGGAAUGUCUGUUGUAGCGG
rnacentral:rRNA from 1 species